AUUGAACGCUGGCGGCAGGCCUAACACAUGCAAGUCGAGCGAGCGGCGGACGGGUGAGUAAUGGAUGGGGACUGCCCGAUAGAGGGGGAUAACUACUGGAAACGGUAGCUAAUACCGAAUACUAUCGGAUAACCAAUAUGGGAUUAGCUAGUAGGUGAGGUAAUGGCUCACACAGGCGACGAUCCCUAGCUGGUCGGAGAGGAUGAACAGCCACCCUUGGACUGAGACACGGCCCAGACUCCUACGGAGGCAGCAGUGGGGAAUAUUGCACAAUGUGCGCAAGCCUGAUGCAGCCAUGCCGCGUGUAUGAUGAAGGCCUUCGGGUUGUAAAGUACUUUUGGCAGAGAAGCGGUAUCUGCAGAAGAAGCACCGGCUAACUCCGUGCCAGCAGCCGCGGUAAUAC
rnacentral:rRNA from 1 species